UCUAGUUUACAAGCUGAGCAAAGUGGGUCAAGCCAUAGAAAACAAUGAUUUAUCAACAGCCAGUUCAGUUCUUGGGUGAACCACCAGUACAGAUUGGGUCCAAAAAGCUAAUAUAGCUUUCUCCAAGGUAAACAGGAUUAAUAUAGUUAUUUCAUUCAAAUUAUAUCUGCAUAUGAGUUGCAAGAAAUUAUGAUUUUUUGAACGAGAAGAGUUUUUGUGAAUUCAUUUUAUAUUAUAUGAAUAUUGGCUUAAUUUAUUAGCUUCUGAUUGCUUGUUUCAUUUGUCCAUAUCUGAGCUCCAGUCCUGAGGAGAAGACACAAAUUCAAUUCAUCUCUAUCUUCAUUGAUUUCAUCAGGUGGGUUAUCAACAUUAAUAAACUGUUAAACAAUUUAAAAAAGUUCUAUACACAAUUGAAAAAACUGCAACACCACCUGAUGAUGUCCAGGUCUUCAAGGAUGAGAUGAAUGCAAUAUUUGCGUAUUUAUAUGAUGGUAGUGUAACUUAAUGGUGCUUUUUUACUUUGCAGUUACAAGCAAUGACAUUGAAUCCUCCAAAUUUGCUUUUGUGUUAUCCGCAACUGCAUUCGAGAAAUGGUAACCUUAACAGGGCUGGUUGGACAGCUCAAAGGGCUUUAGUUA
rnacentral:misc_RNA from 1 species